UACGGGGGGAGCAAGCGUUGUUCGGAUUUAUUGGGCGUAAAGAGCGUGUAGGCGGCCAGACAGGUCCGUUGUGAAAACUAGAGGCUUAACCUCUAGACGUCGAUGGAAACCGUCUGGCUAGAGUCCGGAAGAGGAGAAUGGAAUUCCUGGUGUAGCGGUGAAAUGCGCAGAUAUCAGGAAGAACACCCGUGGCUAAGGCGGUUCUCUAGUACGGUACUGACGCUGAGACGCGAAAGCGUGGGGAGCGAACAGG
rnacentral:rRNA from 1 species